AGCACGAUGGCCGAGUGGUUAAGGCGUUGGACUUAAGUUCCAAUGGGCGUAAGCCUUCGUGGGUUCGAACCCCACUCGUGCUA
rfam:Pristionchus pacificus strain PS312 contig5965, whole genome shotgun sequence.